GAUGAACGCUAGCUACAGGCUUAACACAUGCAAGUCGAGGGGUAACGAGAGGAAAGCUUGCUUUCCUUGUCGACGACCGGCGCACGGGUGAGUAACGCGUAUCCAACCUGCCCCCAACUAGGGAAUAACCUUGCGAAAGUAAGACUAAUACCCUAUAAUUUCCUCAGAUGACAUCUGACGAGGAAUAAAGAUUUAUCGGUUGAGGAUGGGGAUGCGUCUGAUUAGCUUGUUGGCGGGGUAACGGCCCACCAAGGCAACGAUCAGUAGGGGUUCUGAGAGGAAGUUCCACCACAUUGGAACUGACACACGGUCCAAACUCCUGCGGGAGGCAGCAGUGAGGAAUAUUGGUCAAUGGGCGGAAGCCUGAACCAGCCAAGUAGCGUGCAGGAUGACGGCCCUAUGGGUUGUAAACUGCUUUUAUACAGGAAUAAAGUUAGCCACGUGUGGUUAUUUGUAGGUACUGUAUGAAUAAGGACCGGCUAAUUCCGUGCCAGCAGCCGCGGUAA
rnacentral:rRNA from 1 species